rnacentral:rRNA from 1 species
GGAAUAUUGCGCAAUGGGCGAAAGCCUGACGCAGCGACGCCGCGUGGGUGAUGAAGGCCUUCGGGUCGUAAAGCCCUGUCAAGAGGGACGAAAUCUCGUCGACCUAACCCGUCGGCGAUCUGACGGUACCUCUGAAGGAAGCACCGGCUACCUCCGUGCCAGCAGCCGCGGUAAUACGGAGGGUGCAAGCGUUGUUCGGAAUCACUGGGCGUAAAGCGCGUGUAGGCGGCCUCCUUAGUCUGAUGUGAAAGCCCGGGGCUCAACCCCGGAAGUGCAUUGGAUACUGGGAGGCUGGAGUACCGGAGAGGAGGGUGGAAUUCCUGGUGUAGCGGUGAAAUGCGUAGAUAUCAGGAGGAACACCGGUGGCGAAGGCGGCCCUCUGGACGGAUACUGACGCUGAGACGCGACAGCGUGGGGAGCAAA